CCCGUGAUAGCUCAGUUGGUAGAGCGGAGGGCUGUAGAUCCUUAGGUCGCUGGUUCAAAUCCGGCUCGCGGGA
rnacentral:tRNA from 1 species